AGAGUUUGAUCCUGGCUCAGGACGAACGCUGGCGGCGUGCUUAACACAUGCAAGUCGAACGAGGUCCAUCGAGAGCUUGCUCAAGAGAAGACCUAGUGGCGAACGGGUGCGUAACACGUGAGGAACCUGCCCCGGACUUGGGAAUAACAGUCGGAAACGGCUGCUAAUACCGAAUACCUUCGUAGCGUCGCAUGGCGCAUCGAAGAAAGCUUUUGCGGUUUGGGAGGGCCUCGCGGCCUAUCAGCUUGUUGGUGAGGUAACGGCUCACCAAGGCAUCGACGGGUAGCUGGUCUGAGAGGAUGAUCAGCCACACUGGGACUGAGACACGGCCCAGACUCCUACGGGAGGCAGCAGUGGGGAAUCUUGCACAAUGGGCGAAAGCCUGAUGCAGCAACGCCGCGUGCGGGAAGAAGGCCCUAGGGUUGUAAACCGCUUUCAGUAGGGAAGAAACUGACGGUACCUGCAGAAGAAGGUGCGGCCAACUACGUGCCAGCAGCCGCGGUGACACGUAGGCACCAAGCGUUGUCCGGAUUUAUUGGGCGUAAAGAGCUCGUAGGCGGUUCAGUAAGUCGGGUGUGAAAACUCUGGGCUCAACCCAGAGACGCCACCCGAUACUGCUGUGACUUGAGUACGGUAGGGGAGUGGGGAAUUCCUGGUGUAGCGGUGAAAUGCGUAGAGAUAUGGAGGAACACCAGUGGCG
rnacentral:rRNA from 1 species